rnacentral:lncRNA from 1 species
AUAAAAGUAUGAAUAAACUAUUAAGUAUUAGUGAAUCUAUUGUUUUGAUGGGAUACUCAUUCUACGAAACUAAUUUCAAAGAUCCAACCGUCAAACAUGUUUGUAUAUACUUCGAGAUCUCAUACGUCAAAAAUUACAAAAAACAAACAUUCAGAGAUCAAUUAAAGGGACAAAACUUUUCGACGGUUAUAAAAAGAAAAAUCACGAUUUAACGGUCAUUUUAACUCUGAUUUUGAUGAUUUUUUGCAGCUACACUCCUUGACCUUAUAUGAAUACAAUGAUUGAAUUCGAUCUUCAAUUUAAAAUAUUUACACUAGUGGAAACCACAAAAUCUUAUAUUAUACUUAAUAAAAGUAUGAAUAAACUAUUACGUAUUAGUGAAUCUAUUAUUUUGAUGGGAUACUCAUUCUCCGAAACUAGUUUCAAAGAUCCAACCGUCAAACAUGUUUGUAUAUACUUCAAGAUCGCAUACGUCAAAAAUUACAAAAAACAAACAUUCAGAGAUCAAUUAAAGGGACAAAACUUUUCGACGGUUAUAAACGAAAAAUCACGAUUUAACGGUCAUUUUAACUCCGAUUUUGAUGUUUUUUUACAACCACACUAAUUGACCCUAUAUGAAUACAAUGAUUGAAUUCGAUCUUCAAUUUAAAAUAUUUACACUAGUGGAUACCACAAAAUCUUAUAUUAUACUUAAUAAAAGUAUGAAUAAACUAUUAAGUAUUAGUGAAUCUAUUGUUUUGAUGGGAUACUUAUUCUACGAAACUAGUUUCAAUGAUCCAACCGUCAAACAUGUUUAUAUAUACUUCGAGAUUGCAUACGCCAAAAAUUGCAAAAAACAAACAUUCAGAGAUCAAGUAACGGGACAAAACUUUUCGACGGUUAUAAACGAAAAAUCACGAUUUAACGGUCAUUUUAACUCCGAUUUUGAUGAUUUUUUACAACUACACUCCUUGACCCUAUAUGAAUAUAAUGAUUGAAUUCGAUCUUCAAUUUAAAAUAUUAACACUAGUGGAAACCACAAAAUCUUAUGUUAUACUUAAUAAAAGUAUGAAUAAACUCUUUAAGUAUUAGUGAAUCUAUUGUUUUGAUGGGAUACUCAUUCUACGAAACUAGUUUCAAUGAUCCAACCGUCAAACAUGUUUGUAUAUAUUUCGAGAUCGCAUAUGCCAAAAAUUGCAAAAAACAAGCAUUCAGAGAGCACGUAACGGGACAAAACUUUUCGACGGUUAUAAACGAAAAAUCACGAUUU